rnacentral:lncRNA from 1 species
GUCUAAAGUUCCAAAAGGAUAUAUGCGUCAAUUUGAUCCUAUCAUAUUUAUGGAAAAUAAAUCAGAUCCCGAAAAUCUCUCUGAUUUUCUUGAAGGCGCCGAUAACAUGGCGAUUUCAACAAAUUCUUAUGAUAAGCUUUUUCAGGGUUAUUUUGUUAUUCAUAUUUCUUUUCAGUAACAAUUGUCGUGUUCGAAUAAUACCUCCAUGAAUCGCCGAGAAGAAGAAGGUAAAAUAUUUCAUAGAUUAAUUAUAUUCGUCAAAAAAAAUUACGCAUUUGUUAAUCUAUGAUUUUUGUUCUUUCUCUAGCACAUAAUGUAAUUCCGUUCAUGAUUAUCAGUAAUCUUUUUUUUUAUCGAUUAUAACAAUGGUGAUAUUUGUCUUUCUAUGCUUUUUCACAUUCGUUUCUUAUAAAAAUGGGGUUCAAAAACUUAUUGGUAGUAGGUGUGUCAAGAAGCAUGUUUUUGUUCGGUGUUUGAAUUGAAUUGGAUUUGUAGGGAUCUUCAAUUGAAUUCUCUGAAUUUUUUAGUAUUUUUUCCUCAUAUGUUUGUCAUGUUUUUUGUUUUGCAGGUUAAGUUUUGAUCGAUUAUAAUUGAAUUUGCAUCCAGAUAAUCUUGGUAAUUUUUUACACAUUAUACCUGAAUAUAAUUCUGUAUUAUGUCGAACAUAUAACACUUUCUUGACGAUAUUUAUUUGUUUUCCUUCAUUCGUGUAUACUGUUGCGUGGAAAUAUUCUUGCUUGUGUUGAUGGAAAUAAUUAGAAAGAUAGGUUGGAGAUCCCUCUCUUGAUUUCGUGAUGCCGUGAUUAUCACUGAUGGAGGCACUAAUUAAUUCGUGAACGAAAGAGUCACGCAGCUGCAGGUGCUCAUGGAGGUACUACUCUAGGAUGUUGAAAUUUAGAAGAAAAUGAAAAGGAUAUGUUAUAUGGCUUUGUAAUGAAUUAUUGUUGCAUACCAUUGAGGAAGGCGUAGUCAUUGGUGGUGGUUGCUGCCUUUAAAGGUUGUCUACAAAGAUUGAUAAAAUCAGAGAGCAAUUAUUUUAGUGAAGCAGCAUAUUUUAGUGUUCUUGUUUUCUUUUCCUUUUUCUUUUGGAACUACAAUAGCUUGUAUGUUUGGUUGUUAGUACUUCUGUUAGUGGAGAAAAAUAGUUCAAGUUCAUAUUAUAUACACAUUGUUCAACGUAUAAACAACAAAGUUCAUUAAUUGAUUAUUUAUUUAUUUUUGAAUUUAGAAUUUUCUGGGACAAAACCUGAGUGAAUUGAUUGGGAAUAACCAAGUGACAUUGGUCGUGUUAAAAUUUGUGCACAAAUGACUUGGUCGGAUCUCAAUUCUCUGGAGCAGGGAAUGGUGAAAACCUUUCUUGCUACCUUUGGUUGCUUUAUUUGAUCACAUUAAUUGAGAGAUUGAUAGGAAAUUUCAAGGAGAUUUUAUCUCUUAUUCUAUGGAUUUUCUCAUUAGCAUGCAUAUUUUUCUAUAGUCCUUUUGAUUUUAAUGGUAUUGAUUUACUGCAUCUCUCUUUAGAUUUUCUCCUACAAAAUCAACUUUCUGUUAUCCUGAAGACGAUAUUCAGAGUUUUCUAUUGUUGUUACAAGUUAAGAAUGUUCAACAGAUCAAUAUAUAUGUUCAGAGGAAAUUUUCCUGUCUUAUUAUUGUGUUCAUUCUUUAUGAUAUAUGUAUGUUGUGUUUAUGGAACUUGUUCUGAGCCAUGCAAUUGUUUCAUUGUCUUGUAAAAAUAGGUAAAAUGUGCGUAUGAAAUAGUGUGGCAUCAUCCUAUAAGUUUUUUACCUCUGCAGUAUGUUCAUAAGAAUUUCAUUAUAUGUUCAUCUCAGAAUUUAAAAGACUGCAAAAAGAGAGAAGGUGAUUUGACAAUUCCUAAGGGCGUACUGUGCCCUCGGCGUGGUUUGAAACAAGUUGUUAGGCAAGUUUACUCUAGGAGACGGCAAAAGUUACCAACUUUGAAUACACGAAAAACACCAGCAGCAUUCCAUGAUGCACUACUGAAAUUAAAUGAAGCACAUAGAUCAAC